GGUGUCAGUGGCUGGUGGCAGCUGGCGCGGAGAGGUCCAGUGGUGCCUGUAUCUGGGCCGGCAGCUCCAUAGCAACCACCCAGCAAACAAUGCCUCCCCCCAGCCCACAGUGUACACUUCAGCUCCUGCUGUCAGCCACUGGCCAUAGGAGGGGAACGUUGGCCAGACUAAUGGCCCAGGAGCAGGAUGACCAGCAGGCCUUAGGGGACUGGGUCAUCCAUCCAUGCAUAGGAGAUGAACCUGGGAGGAACCACAUACUGGGUGGUUGGCAAUGCUGGGACUCAGAGGCCCAGGGCCUGACCUGGACUAGAAAGGCCACCCCCAGGAGGCACUGUCCUGCUGCUCCCCUCUUCCCUGGCAGUGCCUGGCUGUGGUCCUGGCCCACUGGCUGGGGCAAGAAGCCCAGAAUCUCUGCAAACGGCUGCCUGCUGGCCACUCCCUGAUGACAGAUGGCCUUGAGGAGAUACGUAUUAAUAUCCCCACUUUGUAUAUGGGGGAACUGGGACUCGAAGAAAUGAAGAUGCCUAUUUGGGUGAAAUGGAUGAUAAGAGGUGUAAAUAUGGACUGACAUGACAACUGCUUAUCAGAAAUCUGUAACCAGCUCACAUGUUGUCCCUCCGCUGCCUGUGGAGACUGUUCUCUCAGUGGCGCUGGAUCUCAACACCACAGCAUCAACCCAGCCCUGAAGCCCAUCAUCUGGGUAUGCCUUGGCAAAGUGGACUGCAGCUUAUUUGUGUGGUCUGAGAGCUAAGAAUGCUGUUACAAUUUUAAAUGGUUGAAAAAGAAAUCAAAAUAAUAAAAAUAUUUCAUAA